UACCAGCUCUCCGAGUGGUAGGGAUGAUUAUUGGGCUUAAAGCGUCCGUAGCCGGCUUAGCAAGUCUCCUGUUAAAUUCAGCGACCUAAUCGUUGAGCCGCGGGAGGUACUACUAGGCUAGGAGGCGGGAGAGGUCAACGGUACUUCCGGGGUAGGGGUGAAAUCCUAUAAUCCCGGGAGGACCACCAGUGGUGAAGGCUGUUGACUAGAACGCGCUCGACGGUGAGGGACGAAAGCUGGGGGAGCGAACCGGAUUAGAUACCCGGGUAGUCCCAGCUGUAAACGAUGCGAGCUAGGUGUUGGGGUGGCUACGUGCCACUUCAGUGCCGCAGGGAAGCCAUUAAGCUCGCCGCCUGGGGAGUACGGCCGCAAGGCUGAAACUUAAAGGAAUUGGCGGGGGAGCACCACAAGGCGUGAAGCUUGCGGUUC
rnacentral:rRNA from 1 species